UACGUAGGGACCAAGCGUUGUUCGGAUUUACUGGGCGUAAAGGGCACGUAGGCGGAUUCGUAAGUCAGGGGUGAAAUCCCGGGGCUCAACCUCGGAACUGCCUUUGAUACUGCGGGUCUUGAGUCCGAUAGAGGUGGGUGGAAUUCCUAGUGUAGAGGUGAAAUUCGUAGAUAUUAGGAAGAACACCGGUGGCGAAGGCGGCCCACUGGAUCGGUACUGACGCUGAGGUGCGAAAGCGUGGGGAGCAAACAGG
rnacentral:rRNA from 1 species